GCUUCGGCUUCCGCAUUGGAGGGGCCGCAGCCCAUUAGCUAGUUGUGGGGUCAAGGCCUACCAAGGCAACGAUGGGUAGCUGGUCUGAGAGGACGAUCAGCCACACUGGGACUGAGACACGGCCCAGACUCCUACGGGAGGCAGCAGUGGGGAAUCUUGCGCAAUGCGCGAAAGCGUGACGCAGCAACACCGCGUGAGGGAAGACGGCCUUAGGGUUGUAAACCUCUUUCAGAUGGGACGAAGGUGAUGCGGUGAAUAGCCGAUGUCAUUGACGGUACCGUCAGAAGAAGCUCCGGCUAACUACGUG
rnacentral:rRNA from 1 species